rnacentral:lncRNA from 7 species
CCUGUAGAACCUCACCCAUGCCGCCAUGGUCACGACCUCACCUAACAACUCGCCGCUAAUCUCGCCACCAGCGGAGAGGUAGCGGGCGCCCCAACCGCCUCGCCUCGGUCAUAUAAGGUCUCACGCGCCGUCGACUUUCCCCUUUGUCCAUUCAUUUGUGCACUCACGACCAUAGCCAGAGUGAACGUGAGGGUGUGGGCGUCGCCUGCUUCAAAUUAGUGAGCCUCGUCGCUAUCGCAUCCUCGGGAUUGUGCCUAGGAGAUCCGUCGUGCCAAGAGGAUUGUGCCGGUGGCCUCGCUGCUGUGGAUCGGUGAAGGAAGGCCUCAGAAUUUGUCACCGGAGCGCAAACUUCACCGUGACCCGCCUCCUACCGUGGCCAAGCAUCAACACCGGAUAAUCGCGG